rnacentral:rRNA from 1 species
AUACGGAGGGUGCAAGCGUUAAUCGGAAUCACUGGGCGUAAAGCGCACGUAGGCUGUUUGGUAAGUCAGGGGUGAAAUCCCGCAGCUCAACUGCGGAGUUGCCCUUGAUACUGCUGGACUUGAGUUCGGGAGAGGGUGGCGGAAUUCCAGGUGUAGGAGUGAAAUCCGUAGGUAUCUGGAGGAACAUCAGUGGCGAAGGCGGCCACCUGGACCGAUACUGACGCUGAGGUGCGAAAGCGUGGGGAGC